UAUGUAGUGAAGCAGUGAUGGAUGAGAACCCUUGGUUCGAGCCGAGCGAAGCGAGACGACAACGCGCAGCGUUGCCCGCAGGGUGAGGUCAAAGACCGAAUCAAUCCAGCACGGCCCACCA
rnacentral:sRNA from 1 species